rnacentral:rRNA from 1 species
UACGUAGGGUCCGAGCGUUGUCCGGAAUUAUUGGGCGUAAAGAGCUCGUAGGCGGUUUGUCACGUCUGCUGUGAAAACUGGAGGCUCAACCUCCAGCCUGCAGUGGGUACGGGCAGACUAGAGUGCGGUAGGGGAGAAUGGAAUUCCUGGUGUAGCGGUGGAAUGCGCAGAUAUCAGGAGGAACACCAAUAGCGAAGGCAGCUCGCUGGGACGUUACUGACACUGAGGCGCGAAAGCGUGGGGAGCGAACAGG